rnacentral:lncRNA from 1 species
AUUCUCUCAUUGCGGCAUCUAGGAUCCAGAAGUGAAAAGAACUUUUCCUAGCCUAAGUUUACAUUCGUCGAAUAGACAAUGUUACAACAAUAAGAGGAAGGCAGAAGGGAAGGAAGAAUUCCCCUCUGCCAAGUAUUUAAGUGGCGCUUGGUUUAUUCCAAGUCCCCCCGGGAAGAAACACAGCGCUUCGUCCUCAAAUCUUCAUGGAAUGCUACUAUGAGCUGAAUGGGAUGCCUGAGAUACUGCCUCUAGGAAGCAAAGUGGCUCAAGAGGUACAAGGCCUGAAAGAACCUAUCCAAAUAUCAGCUCUGGUUUUCCUCUUCUCCUGCCAGCGGUGUUCUAAAACCAUAGAGAUUGAGAAGACUGAUCAGCUUCCACAGGAUGAGAACGAUGACCAAGAAAUAUGCUGGCGGCCUCUAAGAAAAUAUCGUGUUUUGCGAAGGACUUCUGGGUCUUCAACUUGCAUUCGGGAAUUAAGACUGGACAGCAAAUGCAAUCCGGUAUCACUAACACCUAACACUUUGGGUUAUUUAGUAUAAUGGUUCUCAAACAUUAGGAUGCAUGAGAAUUACCUGGAAGGCUUGUUUAACCCCAUCCUCCGAGUUUCUGAUUUGGUAGGUUUCUGGUGGGGCCAGAGAAUUUGCCUAACAAGUUUCCAGGUGAUGCUGAUGCCCUUGGCCAGGCAGGGACCACACUUUCAGAACCACUGGGUUAAUAGAAAGGCAUCCACAUAAAAAUGUAGUUUUCUCCUACCUGUAAAACUGUAGUCCAACUUCAUAUUUUACCGGGAUAGAAAUGUUUACUACAUUAUCAGAAAGGGUUUCAGGAGGUUCUUCGCUGUCACUAGAAAAUACACGGCACAUUCAGACAAACCAUUAAAAUCUUGACUAUUUAAAGACAUUUCUAAGUGUUUGAAAGAGAAGCUUAUCCUGGCAACUAAAUAAAAGCAUGUAAGAGUAUAAUUUUUAAUCAUUUUUUUAAUUGGGGUGAAGAAGGAGAUCAGAGAUGAUUGGUAUGGUUGAAAGUUCCCAAGUUGAUUCUGAUGUGCGACUAGACUUGACAAUCACACUGAUUUAUGUUUUUCAAAAUUCUAUGACAAUAUUGAUAAGAAUCCCUCAGUUUAAUUGUUAAAAUACAAAGGUUACUGGGCUUCCCUUAGAAAUAUGGAUUUAGGGGUUCCAACUUGGGGUGCAGGAAUUUCUGUUUUUAACCACAUAUCUGCCCCCAGGUGAUGCUUAUUUAUCACAGAUGAGGACUUAGUAAAGAUAAGUGAUUAGGGUCACACAGCUGAGAGUAAAUCUAAAAUCUUUUGUUUUCUUCUUUAAUAGUCUUUCCAUACUAAGUACUUGAUGAUCAUAUUGUUUGUUAAACACUGAUUUAUUCUCUUGAUUUUGGUUAUCAUUUAAAUUAUAUAUUAUGUAAACACAUGUAUAUAUGUGCAUACACACAUAUACAUACUUCCUCGUAUUAGAAAACACAUACAAAUGAUAUAACGAGUAAUGAACACUGGCUCUGGGGCCAGAGAAUGAGAUUGUUCUUGGACACUGAUACACUUUGGUCAAAUUACUUAUCUGUCUUUGUUUUGGUUUCUUCAUCUAUAAAAUGGGAUAUCAAAUGAGUAAUAAAUGAUGAUUAAAUUAGUAAUAAGUAUAAAGUGCUUAAGAUUGUGCCUAGGACAUAGGAAAUAUUCAGUAAGUGUUAGCUUUCAUUAUUAUUUUACACAUACCCCUCCACCAACUGACCAAGCACCUAACAUAUUGUCUCACAGAAUGGGCAUAAGAGUACUUUUUAAUGGCUCUGCUUAUUCCCAAAUGUAUAAAGUGGCUCAUAAGCAGCAGGACAGAGAAAGCAGCAUGCUGCCUUGGAUUAUAGGUAUUUGUGUGACUCAGCUCUUAGCAUGAAUGGUCCCCUUUUCUCUCACCCAUUCCACACUGCAGCCUUCCUAAAUUCAUCUCCAUAAGCAGCAGCUCUGUACAGAUGACUUUACCUCUCAAAAACUUUACUGGCUUUUCAAGGUCUGUUCAAUUAAGAAAUAAUACCUUGACUGACAUUCAGUACCUAGCGUAAUAUGAUAGAAUGCACACUCCCUGUUUAUUUUCAUUGCUACUUUAUGUAUUCUUUAUAUUUCAGCUAAAAUUGAUAACCUUUUUAAUCAAGCUAUAUAUUUUGCCUGAAAUGCUCCACCUGGUGCUAUUCAGUGACCUCUCUGUGAAAUGCUAUCUACCCUUCAAGGUCUUUCUCAAUUAUAAGUUCCUUGAUAAAGCUUUCUUGGGUUCCCAUUGCC